GACGAACGCUGGCGGCGUGCUUAACACAUGCGAGUCGAACGGAAAGGCCCUGCUUUUGUGGGGUGCUCGAGUGGCGAACGGGUGAGUAACACGUGAGUAACCUGCCCUUGACUUUGGGAUAACUUCAGGAAACUGGGGCUAAUACCGGAUAGGAGCUCCUGCUGCAUGGUGGGGGUUGGAAAGUUUCGGCGGUUGGGGAUGGACUCGCGGCUUAUCAGCUUGUUGGUGGGGUAGUGGCUUACCAAGGCUUUGACGGGUAGCCGGCCUGAGAGGGUGACCGGCCACAUUGGGACUGAGAUACGGCCCAGACCCCUACGGGAGGCAGCAGUGGGGAAUAUUGCACAAUGGGCGGAAGCCUGAUGCAGCAACGCCGCGUGCGGGAUGACGGCCUUCGGGUUGUAAACCGCUUUCGCCUGUGACGAAGCGUGAGUGACGGUAAUGGGUAAAGAAGCACCGGCUAACUACGUG
rnacentral:rRNA from 1 species